UACAGAGGGGGCAAGCGUUUGUUCGGAAUUACUGGGCGUAAAGGGCGCGUAGGCGGCCUUCUAAGUCGAACGUGAAAUCCCCGGGCUCAACCCGGGAACUGCGUCCGAUACUGGAAGGCUUGAAUCCGGGAGAGGGAUGCGGGAAUUCCAGGUGUAGCGGUGAAAUGCGUAGAUAUCUGGAGGAACACCGGUGGCGAAGGCGGCAUCCUGGACCGGCAUUGACGCGUGAG
rnacentral:rRNA from 1 species